UACAGAGGGUGCGAGCGUUAAUCGGAAUUACUGGGCGUAAAGGGCUCGUAGGCGGCCAACUAAGUCAUACGUGAAAUCCCUCAGCUUAACUGGGGAACUGCGUGUGAUACUGGAUGGCUUGGAUUUGGGAGAGGGAUGCGGAAUUCCAGGUGUAGCGGUGAAAUGCGUAGAUAUCUGGAGGAACACCGGUGGCGAAGGUGGCAUCCUGGACCAAUAUUGACGCUGAGGAGCGAAAGCCAGGGGAGCAAACGGG
rnacentral:rRNA from 1 species